AGGGCGGGCGGCGCGGCGGCCGCGGUGACAGCGGGGGGCGCGGCGGAGGCUCCGGCUGCGGCUCCCGGCGCCGCCAUGGACUUCAACGUGAAGAAGCUGGCGUCGGACGCGGGGGUCUUCUUCUCCCGCGCCAUGCAGUUUACUGAAGAAAAGUUGGGCCAGGCUGAGAAGACUGAACUAGAUGCCCACUUUGAAAACCUUCUGGCCAGGGCAGACUGCACAAAGAACUGGACAGAGAAGAUCUUGCGUCAGACUGAAGUUCUGCUACAGCCAAACCCUAGUGCCAGAGUAGAAGAAUUCCUCUAUGAGAAGCUUGACCGGAAGGUGCCUUCCCGGGUCACCAAUGGGGAGCUGCUGGCACAGUACAUGACAGAAGCAGCUAAUGACUUUGGGCCAGGGACACCUUACGGAAAGACCUUGAUAAAAGUUGGAGAGACUCAAAGGCGCUUAGGUGCAGCAGAACGGGACUUCAUCCACUCUGCCUCAAUCAACUUCCUGACCCCACUGCGCAACUUCCUGGAAGGGGAUUGGCGAACCAUAUCUAAAGAGCGAAGGAUCCUGCAGAACCGCCGCCUGGAUCUGGAUGCCUGCAAAGCCAGGUUGAAGAAAGCCAAAGCUGCCGAGGCAAAAGCAGCGUGUGAGGGAGAUGUGAGUAUUGACUGUGCUAACAGUGCUGUGAUUUUUUUCUUUAACACCUCUCAUUGUCUCUUUCCCAUUUUAAAUGAAAAUUCAUAUCUCCCUUGUCCCAUUGGGACUGGCCCUGGAGCAUGUGCUGAGCGUGGUCAGGGCUGUGGCUGCCUGGGGAAGGUGCUCCAGAAAGAUGGGAGUGUCUGUCGGGUGCCUGCAGCCCCUCUGGAGCAUGCACUCAGUUCCAUCGAAGCUGCUUGCAAGCAGUGCUCAAGAGAGGCAGGGGCUCCUGUAAAGACCCACUCAGGCUCCUCCAGCCAUAGGCAGGAGGAGGUCAGGUUGGGUGGCAAAGUCCCUCUCCUGGAAGGGAGGCAGCCCAGAGACAAUGACAGGCAGGUUUAUCUGGUUGUGGUGCUGUUCUGUCCUCCAGGCUCCAGGGCUCUGCCUGUUUUCCCCAUUACAAGAGCAGAAAGGGGAGGGAGGGGGGUCCCUUUUGACCACUGCUUGCAAAUACAACUUCUCCAUGUAUAGGAGUGCAAGAGCAGCUUGCCUCCUUCAUCCCAUGUGCUAUGACUAGUUUUGGGACUCCCUGGAGACCAGGGAAUGGGAGGAGAGGUUUCUUCAGUUGUGCUUGAUCUUUUAAAAAAAAAAAAAAAAAAAGGCAUAAGAAGCUAUUUCUGUGAAACAUAUCUUCUCCUCACAGGGAGGAGUCAAGCCUCGUUGCUGUCCUGGUCUCAAAUCUCACUGGUGCAUUUUUCUCCCUAUAUUCAGGUUUGACUUGUAAUAGGAAUCACUCCUCCUUAUUCCUUCCUCUAGCCAUCCCCAAAACUCCUAGAUGGUUUAAAAAAAAAAAUCUCACGUUGGGACUGCCUGACUGCUCUUCCACACGCUGGUCACUCAUUCCAGCAGCCUGCUCGGGGCCCAGCAAAUCGGGUCAGCAUGUGUAUAAGUAGAUCUGGGUGAGCUGCAAAGAGAUUAACCUGGACCUGGGAGAGGAAAUGUGGGGCCUGAGAGGAUUAACAACGUAGCUGGGUUACAGCUGGAUUGUGUGCCAGCCUUGCACACCGACCCACUGCACAGUAAAAGCUGACCAGGAGGAUACCCUGAUCCACCGCACCAGCGUGAUGGUCCUGAUGUAAGCUAGCUUGUUGGCUUAUCUCUUUGGGUGAUGCUACAGCCAAAGGCCGUCCUAGGAGUCUUAGCUUAGCUGAAUAGAGAGACCAUGUUAUGUGAUGGUUAGGGAGCCCACACAGGUGUGGGGAUGGACUGGAUCCCUUGCAUUCCCAAUGAGGAAAACAUCCAGUGCUUAAGUCUUCCUGCCCGAGGGCAGAGGUUUAGCUAUGGAGAAGAUGGCUUGGAGGUUUUCUGACCUCUGGGAUGAAAACUCAUACACUGCCUUCGGCAACAGCAAGGCUUUGGAUUAGAUCUGCUUUGGCUAAGCCAUGCCCCUUACUAUAGCAGAUCUGAGUCUGUUAGGAGGAAACAUGCCCAGAGGCUUGGUGAGAGUAAGAACAAGUAGAUGUGUUUCUUCAAAAGGCACAGUGGAAAGGGUGCUCUGAUGCUAGUAAACAUGCUCACUUUAAUGACAAGGCCCUGUACAGGGACACUUCUAGGACUGUAGGUGGGAAGCAAGGGGAAAGAAGGUCCUGCCCACUGGACUGAGCCAACGUGACAUGAGCAACCUGCUGGCUGCAAGGGAAUGGGAAAUGAAUUUGAGAUUGUGCUGUCUCAUCUCCACUCCAACUGGUUGCUGUACGAGCGGAUAGCUGUAAGUACAGGCAGAGUUUCUAACAGUAGAAAUAUCUGCUGUUCAAGUACCAGAGUGACUGCAUGAGCCAGUCCACCUCCUCUUGCACAAGCCUGGCUUCCACCUGGGGAGAGCUUCCAUGCGCCACUGCCCAGACUGUUGGGAGACCUCCCUCCUGCCAUCCCAUAAGAAUUAGAACUAAGCUCCCAGCACAGACAGGAAAAAAAAACCCCACUAGUCCCUUCUUCCAUCCAUUGUCCGACUGACUCUUAUCGACUCUUCUGCGUGACUUGUACAUGAAACUCUAUUCCCCCCACUAGGCUGUGCCUGACUUUCAGGAGACUAGACCUCGUAAUUACGUUCUCUCCGCCAGCGCAUCAGCGCUUUGGAGCGACGAGGUGGAAAAAGCAGAACACGAGCUGCGGCUCACACAGAGUGAGUUUGAUCGACAGGCAGAGGUGAC